rnacentral:tRNA from 1 species
GGGGAUUUAGCUCAGUGGUAGAGCGCUUGCCUAGCAAGUACAAGGCCCUGGGUUCGGUUCCCAGCUCCA